UGGGAACCUGAGACCUUAUGGAGGCCUCUUCAACUGGACCAUGACAUACCGGCGUGAUGCAGAUAUCUUCACACCUUAUGGGGAGCUGGUUCCCAGGACCACUGAAGUUUGAGAAGAAAAACACAAGACAGAAGUGAGAGAGAGUGAGGAACCACAGGACAGGCUGCUAACUGUCCGCCGAAGCCAACCUGUGUUGAGAUGCCCGUCUCCUGUCUGGAGAGACAUGACACCCAGCGAGCUGUACGAAGGAGCGCUUACCUGGGGCAUCGGAGCCUGGGAAUCGUCGGCAGAGAGGGGAAAUUUUAGGUGGGCACACUGGGAGGCCAGAUUACACACCUUUUUCUCCAGGUUGGACUCGAUGGAGUAACUCUUUCUUAGCUGCUUUUGGUCAUUUACGUAGCUGUGCAGAUAGUACCAAAGUGAAAUGUCUGAGCACUGUAGAAAUUAUUGUGUGAUCCUGACAGCUUGAAGGCAGAAACCAGGAUCGUGUGAGGACCACAGCUCAGGACUCCAACAGGACCCUGCAGGAUCUCACAGUCGCCUCUGUGCAGGACCAACCAUGGCUGCAGGAAGAAGCAGAAAGAUGAUAUUUCUGGCCCUUAUCCUGAUGUUUAUCCUCAGCAAAUAUGCUAUAUAUCAGUGGUUUAUGAAAUGGUUCAAUGACAAGUCAAGGCUUGGUACUGAGCGUGGGGACGUCAGGGUCCUGAUGUGGCACUGGCCAUUUAAACAGAACCAGCCCCUGCAGGAGGACAUUUGCAGGACAAAAUACCAUGUUUCUGGCUGCCACCUGGUGGACAACCGCAGUCUAUACCAUCAGGCUGACGUGGUGGUCUUUCACAAUCGUGAGCUACAAACAGGAAUCUCCGAGCUUCCCCUUGACCAGCCUCGUCCGACAGCCCAAAAGUGGGUGUGGCUCUCCCUAGAGUCUCCACCCCAUAAUGGGAACCUGAGACCUUAUGGGGGCCUCUUCAACUGGACCAUGACAUACUGCCGUGAUGCAGAUAUCUUCAUACCUUAUGGGGAGCUGGUUCCCAGGACCACUGAAGGUAAUUAUACUAUCCCCACUAAGCAUACACUGGCCUGCUGGGUGGUCAGCAACUACCAGCCGACCCACAAGAGAACUGAGGUGUACCACAGUCUG